GGGGCUUCGCUCCUUGGAGCCCUCGGUGGUUUAACGCACUUCUGUGCACUGUACCGAGAGAGCUAGCGGAUGCACUUUGUUUUCCACCCCAUGAUAGACUUCACAGUUGUGUUUAGACAUCCCUGUUUUAAUGCACCGCGUCCCUCAGAGCCACCGAAACGUCGGAGGACGAAACCGGUCCGGUAUAGGCCAGCGUUUCCUGCCCAUUUGCCACCGUUUAGCCAUAGAAACACUUGGGAUAAAUUUCCCUGCCCGCUGCUCACACACGUGCGCACCAUGGACUAGGGGCCGUUAUUCCCCACCCAGCCCGCGAGGGACCAGGGCUCAAUGGCCACCGUGGUCGCGCACCCUGCUUGCUUCCCCUCCGCUUCCCCGGGACCCGCCACGCCUCUCCGGACAGCUGCCCACUCACCUCAUGCCCGUUGCUGGCUGGGAUGAUUUCGGACUCGUUAACCAAAGAUGACUUGAUGUCGGCUAAGUCGCCCUCCUCUUCGGGAUGACUGAUCUCGGCGAAGAUCUUCUCCUUCUGGGGAUCGCCUUCGUCCUUGAAGGGGAUCAUCUCAUCGGUGGCGCAGAGUUCCGGGUCCCCCCCGCCGCCUCCUCCGGAAAGUUGGGGCAUCCCGGCGGCUGUGUAAUCUCCGCUCCGCUGCGGGAGCACUCCGAGACAGCAAGAAGGGAGGGUCGAUGUGAGGUGGGGGAGUUGGAAGACUGAGUGCGGGAGGACUGUGAAUGGAAGCCGGGUGGGCAAGCGAGGGGCCCACGGCUGGAGCAGCUGCAGGAGCCUCUGCGAUUGCCGCGCUUUCCCACUUAGAAGGACGCCGGCGCCCGGCCCUGGGGCGAAGGGCACCAGACUGCGAGGGCGGCAGCCGCCGGCGCCUCUGAGAGCGUCUACGCCGCUCCGCGUGCACUAGGCUAGGCUGCCAGGGCUGGGUGGCCACCCCACGCCGCACUCGUUGCUGGGGUCUGUGCUUCGAGGACACCGGUUCCGGAGGGGACACGACUUGCCAAAGUGCAAACGAGGGUCCCGUGGUGCGUCACCGUGCAAAACCUCUCCACGGAUUCCUCGGAUGCUGAUUUCGGUGAUUUGGGGUUUUGUUUUGUUUUGUUUUUGAGAAGAGGAGAGCUGGGCCAAGAGGCUCCCUUUGCCCCAGCGGAGGUACGAGAAGAAUCAGAAAAUACCGAAAAGUCCACUUCCUUCAGAGUAAACAAUAAAGAGCCACCGGGCUGCAGACGUCCGCGUUAGAGCUUCUUUCCUUCCCUUUCGCUUCGGUUUUCCUUCUGGAGGAGCAUUUAAUCUGCUGGAGGGGGAGGGGCGGAGGAGGAGGGGAGAAAAAGAGAAGUUUGCCAAGAAUAAAGUUUGUGAUGAUGAGCGCUGGGAAUCGGCGGUGGCUGGCACGGCGGAGUCUUGGGGAGUCACAGCAGGAGCUUCGGGCCCAAAUGUUCCAGCCCGCAGCUCGGGCCGAUACACACACUUACACACACACACACACACACACACACACACACACACACACACACACACACUCGAGCCCGAUCCCUCUUUGUUCCCGGCUCGAGUUUCUGCCUGGCUCGCCUCUCUCCCCGCCUCCCCUCGGUCAAAGCAAAGAGCUGCCGGUGGCCCCUCGGCUCCUCCGGGCAGACCGGCCGGGGAACACCCGGAGCGUAGCCGCUUGCAAGGCUCCGGGAAUGUCCGAAUGCCAGGGCCCACGAAAGCGCAGCCCGGUCCCUCCGGUGCGCGCUGCCCCGCAGGUGAGCGGUUGCGCCUUCCGGGGGGGGGGGGGGGGGACGACACCAUACAACCUGAAGAUAGACUGGGUGCUGUGUGUAACCCAACCCCAAAGAACAGUGUGGCCCACGUGAAAAUUGACGAGAAACUACGGGAAUGGCUUAACUUCAUCAUCUGAGCAUCUCUUCUUCUCUUGCCGACCCCCCCCCACCCCGCCCCCGGCGCCUCACUUCUAGUCCUUUGCCAGUCUUUCUUCAACCUCCUUCCCGCCGCCCACUCUAGCCCCCUCACUCAGGCAAGGGGAGGAAGAUGAAAGAGAAAGCCGCUGGCGCUGUGGUCGACACCACAUUGAUAGAUGCUCUGACAGAGGGAAUAAGGCGAGAAUUAGGGACUAGGGGAAGGAAAAGGAGAAAAUGUAACACAUUGCUCACCUAACCAGAGAGAAGAGAUUCAGCAAAGGCAAACAGAAGAGUUGUGACUCUACUAACCGUGAAUCACACACACUUCGGAGACAAGGGCACACCACCCUAGCGAAAAUAAAAUCUCCAGGCUUACCAGGGGGGAAGGAUCAGUAAGAAGGGUGUGGAUGAAGACUGAGCCUUAAAUAUCGCUUCUACGCUAUCACAUUCAUUGUGCCUUUAUCACCGAAUGAACGUGGGUUUUUGGAGAUUCUCGACUCAGCGUGUAGAGACCUCGUAGAAAAAGGAAAAUACAUCCCAAAAGGAGGGAGAAGAACAACCUAGGAGAGGCAGGCAGCACUGGGCAGUUGCUGACAUCCUGGAGACUCCGCUGAAAGGGACCUUUAAAGGAUGGAUGUAAAUACGAAUCAAACCUCAAAAAUUCUCCGGUUCCCACUGUCUCCUUGGUGCAUUUUGGACAGGACUUUUAAGGGCGACGCUUUGUGAAAGUCACUGUGUAAGUGGGGCUUAAGUUUGGAAACACAUUGUCUUUUAGCUCUCAACCCCUCCCCUCAAGUCAAAUAUUCAGGCAAAAUCAUUAGACCAGUGAGGCAGCCAUCUGUAGAACCUGGGAGCAGUAAACAGGAAGAAUUGUAUCUCCAUCUUACUUAAAUGGAAAAUAAGACUCC
ensembl:antisense Gm43352 predicted gene 43352